CCUACGGGUGGCAGCAGUGGGGAAUAUUGCACAAUGGGGGAAACCCUGAUGCAGCGACGCCGCGUGAGUGAUGAAGUCUUUCGGUUCGUAAAGCUCUUUCAGUAGGGAAGAAAGUGACGGUUCCUGACUACGAAGCCCUGGCUAACUACGUCCCAGCAGCCGCGGUAAUACGGCGGGGGCAAGCGUUCUCCGGAUUUACGGGGUGUAAAGGGAGCGUAGGCGGCUGCGCAAGUCUGGUGUGAAAGCCCAGGGCUUAACCAGGGAACUGCAUUGGACACUGUGCAGCUGGAGUGCAGGAGAGGUAGGCGGAAUUCCAAGUGUAGCGGUGAAAUGCGUAGAGAUGAGGAGGAAUACCAGUGGCGAAGGCAGCUUACUGGA
rnacentral:rRNA from 1 species